rnacentral:tRNA from 1 species
GGAGUGGUACUCAAGAGGCUGAAGAGGACGGUUUGCUAAAUCGUUAGACGCGCAAGCGUGCGUGGGUUCGAACCCCACCCACUCCGCCA